CACGGGGCCAGUUAUCACCUCCUGCACCAUCUCUUUGAUGAGCUUGUUGGCUGCCCGGAGGUCUUCAGGGUGGGAGCUCUUCAGUAAGCGGGCCAGCAUCUGUGAAGACAGGGUGUGUUUCUUACCCACAUGUGAAUACUUCUCUGUCUACAAAGCUAAUGAACUAGUAUGGAAAGCAAGGAAGCUAUGCAGACUUCUCAAGACGACCCUGGGAUGGUGAACUGCAUUUACUAAAGGCAAUACUGCGGUUUCCCUAGUCACAGCCUGCCUGGAAGUCAUGACGUGAACCAGGGUGGCCUUGAUUUGGCAGAGAUCCACUUUCCUCUAUCUCCCGAGGGCUGGAAUUAAAGGUGAACACCACCAUGCCUGGCAUGGGUUACCCACUACAGACCCAGUAUUCUGAAUGGUGUGCUAGG